rnacentral:rRNA from 1 species
UGAGUAACACGUAUGCAACCUGCCUGCCACAGCCGGAUAAUCGGGAGAAAUUCCGUCUAAUACGGCAUAAUGCAUCGACGGGACAUCCUGUUGGUGCCAAAGGUUAAUUCCGGUGGCGGAUGGGCAUGCGUCGCAUUAGUUAGUUGGCGGUGUAACGGACCACCAAGACGACGAUGUGUAGGGGUUCUGAGAGGAAGGUCCCCCACACUGGUACUGAGACACGGACCAGACUCCUACGGGAGGCAGCAG